UGGGGAUGUGGCUCAGUGGUAGAGUGCUUGCCUGGCAUGUGUGAGGCCCUGAGUUCAAUCCUCAACACAUAA
rnacentral:tRNA from 1 species